rnacentral:rRNA from 1 species
AUUGAACGCUGGCGGCAGGCUUAACACAUGCAAGUCGAGCGGGGGAAGGUAGCUUGCUACCGGACCUAGCGGCGGACGGGUGAGUAAUGCUUAGGAAUCUGCCUAUUAGUGGGGGACAACAUCUCGAAAGGGAUGCUAAUACCGCAUACGUCCUACGGGAGAAAGCAGGGGAUCUUCGGACCUUGCGCUAAUAGAUGAGCCUAAGUCGGCUUAGCUAGUUGGUGGGGUAAAGGCCUACCAAGGCGACGAUCUGUAGCGGUUCUGAGAGGAUGAUCGGCCAAACUGGGACUGAGACACGGCCCAGACUCCUACGGGAGGCAGCAGUGGGGAAUAUUGGACAAUGGGGGGAACCCUGAUCCAGCCAUGCCGCGUGUGUGAAGAAGGCCUUAUGGUUGUAAAGCACUUUAAGCGAGGAGGAGGCUACUUUAGUUAAUACCUAGAGAUAGUGGACGUUACUCGCAGAAUAAGCACCGGCUAACUCUGUGCCAGCCGCCGCGGUAA